rnacentral:rRNA from 1 species
UACGGGAGGCAGCAGUGGGGAAUAUUGCACAAUGGGCGCAAGCCUGAUGCAGCCAUGCCGCGUGUAUGAAGAAGGCCUUCGGGUUGUAAAGUACUUUCAGCAGUGAGGAAGGUGGGUAUGUUAAUAGCAUACUCAUUUGACGUUAGCUGCAGAAGAAGCACCGGCUAACUCCGUGCCAGCAGCCGCGGUAAUACGGAGGGUGCGAGCGUUAAUCGGAAUUACUGGGCGUAAAGCGCAUGCAGGUGGUUUGUUAAGUCAGAUGUGAAAGCCCGGGGCUCAACCUCGGAAUUGCAUUUGAAACUGGCAAACUAGAGUACUGUAGAGGGGGUAGAAUUUCAGGUGUAGCGGUGAAAUGCGUAGAGAUCUGAAGGAAUACCGGUGGCGAAGGCGGCCCCCUGGACAGAUACUGACACUCAGAUGCGAAAGCGUGGGGAGCAAACAGGAUUAGAUACCCUGGUAG